rnacentral:rRNA from 1 species
CCUACGGGAGGCAGCAGUAGGGAAGCGUCCACAAUGGGCGAAAGCCUGAUGGAGCAACGCCGCGGGGGUGAAGAAGGUCUUCGGAUCGUAAAACCCUGUUGUUAGAGAAGAAAGUGCGUGAGAGUAACUGUUCACGUCUCGACGGUAUCUAACCAGAAAGCCACGGCUAACUACGUCCCAGCAGCCGCGGUAAUACGUAGGUGGCAAGCGUUAUCCGGUUUUAUUGGGCGUAAGGGGAGCGCAGGCGGUCUUUUAAGUCUGAUGUGAAAGCCUUCGGCUUAACCGGAGUAGUGCAUUGGAAACUGGGAGACUUGAGUGCAGCAGAGGAGAGUGGAACUCCAUGUGUAGCGGUGAAAUGCGUAGAUAUAUGGAAGAACACCAGUGGCGAAGGCGGCUCUCUGGUCUGUAACUGACGCUGAGGUUCGAAAGCGUGGGUAGCAAACAGGAUUAGAUACCCGAGUAGUC